GUGUCAGCCGCCGCGGUAAGACAGGGGAUGCAAGCGUUAUCCGGAAUGAUUGGGCGUAAAGCGUCUGUAGGUGGCUCCUUAAGUCCGCUGUCAAAUCCCAGGGCUCAACCCUGGACAGGCGGUGGAAACUACUAAGCUGGAGUACGGUAGGGGCAGAGGGAAUUUCCGGUGGAGCGGUGAAAUGCGUAGAGAUCGGAAAGAACACCAAAGGCGAAGGCACUCUGCUGGGCCGACACUGACACUGAGAGACGAAAGCUAGGGGAGCGAAUGGGAUUAGAUACCCCAGUAGUCCUAGCCGUAAACGAUGGAUACUAAUCGCUGCGCGUAUCGACCCGUGCAGUGCUGUAGCUAACGCGUUAAGUAUCCCGCCUGGGGAGUACGUUCGCAAGAAUGAA
rnacentral:rRNA from 1 species